CACGAAGUCGGACAGGCAGUAGUAGGGGUCUGAGCUGGCACUGUCCUUCUCUGCCUACAAGACAAACACAGUUAUCUUACAAUACACGCUUGUUGUUCACGUUGACCCCAUUUAGUCCGCUGUUUCCAUUGAUUGGUCCAUAGACUGUUGGUCGACCCAGAUGUUUAAGUCGAGCAGUAGCAACAAAAUCUAAACAAUUGGUGUACUAGACACCUUUCUGAUUGGCUCCUGUCUGAUUGGACUGAUCCAUUGUGGAGGCCUGUCUGAUUAGACUGAUCCAUUGUGGAGGUCUGUCUCAGUGGACUGAUCCAUUAUAGAGGUCUGUCUCAGUGGACUAAUCCAUUAUAGAGGCCUGUCUCAGUGGACUAAUCCAUUAUAGAGGUCUGUCUCAGUGGACUAAUCCAUUAUAGAGGCCUGUCUCAGUGGACUAAUCCAUUAUAGAGGCCUGUCUCAGUGGACUAAUCCAUUAUAGAGGCCUGUCUGAGUGGACUAAUCCAUUACAGAGGCCUGUCUGAAUGGACUAAUCCAUUACAGAGGCCUGUCUGAAUGGACUAAUCCAUUAUAGAGGCCUGUCU
ensembl:lncRNA